rnacentral:rRNA from 1 species
CCAGACUCCUACGGGAGGCAGCAGUGAGGAAUAUUGGUCAAUGGGCGGAAGCCUGAACCAGCCAAGUCGCGUGAGGGAAGAAGGCCCUGCGGGUCGCAGACCUCUUUGGCCGGGGAGCAAGGCCGCCGACGUGUCGGCGGAAGGAGAGUACCCGGAGAACAAGCAUCGGCUAACUCCGUGCCAGCAGCCGCGGUAAUACGGAGGAUGCGAGCGUUAUCCGGAUUUAUUGGGUUUAAAGGGUGCGCAGGCGGCUCGUAAGGCCGGGGGGAAAAUGCGGGGGCGAAACCCGGCCGGCCGUUGGGACUGGGGGGCGUGAGGGGGCGAGAAGAAGCCGGAAUGCGUGGGGGAGGGGGGGAAAG